rnacentral:rRNA from 1 species
AUUGAACGCUGGCGGCAGGCUUAACACAUGCAAGUCGAGCGAGCGGCGGACGGGUGAGUAAUGUCUGGGAAACUGCCUGAUGGAGGGGGAUAACUACUGGCAACGGUAGCUAAUACCGCAUACCAUCAGAUGUGCCCAUAUGGGAUUAGCUAGGAGGUGGGGUAAUGGCUCACCUAGGCGACGAUCACUAGCUGGUCUGAGAGGAUGACCAGCAACACUGGAACGGAGACACGGGCCAGACUCCUACGGGAGGAAGCAGUGGGUAAUAUUGCACAAGGGGCGCAAGCCUGAUGCAGCGAUGCCGCGUGUGGGAAGAAGGCCUUCGGGUUGCAAAGCACUUUCAGCGAGGAGGCGUUACUCGCAGAAGAAGCACCGGCUAACUCCGUGCCAGCCGCCGCGGUAAUUC